CCUACGGGAGGCAGCAGUAGGGAAUAUUGCUCAAUGGGGGAAACCCUGAAGCAGCAACGCCGCGUGAGGGAUGAAGGUUUUCGGAUUGUAAAGUCCUUUUGUUAGAGAAGAUAAUGACGGUAUCUGACUAAUAAGCACCGGCUAACUCCGUGCCAGCAGCCGCGGUAAUACGUAGGGGGCAAGCGUUACUCGGAUUCACUGGGCGUAAAGAGCGCGUAGGCGGGAUAGCAAGUCAGAUGUGAAAGGCUGUGGCUUAACCAUAGAACUGCAUUGGAAACUGUUAUUCUAGAGUAUAGGAGAGGUAGGUGGAAUUCUUGGUGUAGGGGUAAAAUCCGUAGAGAUCAGGAGGAAUACUAGUGGCGAAGGCGACCUGCUAGAACGUAACUGACGCUGAGGCGCGAAAGCGUGGGGAGCAAACAGGAUUAGAUACGCCUGUAGUC
rnacentral:rRNA from 1 species